rnacentral:rRNA from 1 species
GACGAACGCUGGCGGCGCGCUUAACACAUGCAAGUCGAACGGAAAGGCCUGCUUUCCCUUGUGGAUUGCGGGUACUCGAGUGGCGAACGGGUGAGUAACACGUGAGUGAUCUGCCCCCAACUUGGGGAUAAGCCUGGGAAACUGGGUCUAAUUUCCGAUAGGACUGCAGGGUGGUGCCUGUGGUGGACAACGAUUUUCUAGUGGGUGGGGAUGGGCUCGCGGCCUAUGAGCUUGUUGGUGGGGUAAUGGCCUACCAAGGCGGCGACGGGUAGCCGGCCUGAGAGGGUGGACAGCCACAUUGGGACUGAGACACGGCCCAGACUCGUACGGGAGGCAGCAGUGGGGAAUAUUAGACAAUGGGCGGAAGCCUGAUGCGGCGACGCCGUGUGGGGGAUGACGGCCUUCGGGUUGUAAACUCCUUUCGAGCGCGAGGAAGCAAUCUGGUUGGAAGGGUGGUGACGGUAGUGGUAGAAGAAGCACCGGCUAACUACGUG